rnacentral:tRNA from 8 species
CCCGGCUUAGCUCAGUUGGUAGAGCGAUGGACUGUAGAUCCAUAGGUCUCUGGUUCGAAUCCGGAAGCCGGGA